AUCAGCAUUUAUUAAAUAAUCAUGGUCCAUAAAUAAAAGAAAACAAUGUUGUUUUUGUGCAUAACAAAAAGCUCACAAUUGUGCAGUCAAAAUGUAAACUAAUAGACGCUGAGCAUAAUAACAAAGAGACAGAUUUCACAGCUGCACCACGUCUCUGAACAGGUGCCAUUUGUGGUCCUUAUACACACACAGUACGUAUCACUCCGCGAGGCUCCUCCUCGGUAGCCGUAAUCCUCCGACAAUCCAUCAAGUGGUGCAGCCGUGCAGCCCCUCCUGGCUGCAUGUCGUUAGCGCGGUUAGCUCGUUAGCGCGGUUAGCUCGCUAACACGUUGACGCCGUCCAGCCCCACGCACGGUAACUCGCUAACGGAGAUUUUCCGCUUUCAUCUUGUCAUUGCCUGCAGGUGAAGCUAUGGGGGAGGGGGAGUUGUGUUCAGUGAAGGAGAGGCGAGGCCGAGUAACGUUGCGUAGAGGCAAAAGUGGACGAAAGAGAGGCAAACCUGCGGCUCCACAAUGUUGAUGCUACCAGAGAGGACGGCUCACUUGGCAGACUUGUAAAUGACGAUAAUGUGAAUCCAAACAGUAAAAUGACAGUUACCAGAGUGGAUGGAAGGCCCCAUCUGUUUGUUUGCAAUCAAAGAUAUUUGUCCAGGAGAAGAAAUCACCUAUAACUAUGGUGAUUCCAACUGGCCAUGGAGAAGCAAGAAAUCCAACAUGGUGCCAUCUCAGGCUGUGGAUGAGAAUGCAGCCAGUUCCUCUCCUAACGACACAACAAAGAAAUCCAACAUGGUGCCAUCUCAGGCUGUGGAUGAGAAUGCAGCCAGUUCCUCUCCUAACGACGCAACAAAGUUUGCUACCAGUCCUGGCACAAAAGAUGUUAUGUUAGCCACAAGGUGAACCUCACUGAACCUCUUCCAGAG
ensembl:lncRNA